UCCUACGGGAGGCAGCAGUGGGGAAUAUUGGACAAUGGGCGCAAGCCUGAUCCAGCCAUGCCGCGUGUGUGAAGAAGGUCUUCGGGUUGUAAAGCACUUUUGUCCGGAAAGAAAAGCAUUCGGCUAAUAACCGGGUGUUAUGACGGUACCGGAAGAAUAAGCACCGGCUAACUUCGUGCCAGCAGCCGCGGUAAUACGAAGGGUGCAAGCGUUACUCGGAAUUACUGGGCGUAAAGCGUGCGUAGGUGGUUUGUUAAGUCCGAUGUGAAAGCCCUGGGCUCAACCUGGGAAUGGCAUUGGAUACUGGCAGGCUAGAGUGCGGUAGAGGGGUGUGGAAUUCCCGGUGUAGCAGUGAAAUGCGUAGAUAUCGGGAGGAACAGCUGUGGCGAAGGCGACACCCUGGACCAGCACUGACACUGAGGCACGAAAGCGUGGGGAGCAAACAGGAUUAGAUACCCUGGUAGUCCACGCCCUAAACGAUGCGAACUGGAUGUUGGGUGCAACUUGGCACUCAGUAUCGAAGCUAACGCGUUAAGUUCGCCGCCUGGGAAGUACGGUCGCAAGACUGAAACUCAAAGGAAUUGACGGUCCUACGGGAGGCAGCAGGACAAACUUAAAGGAAUUGACGGA
rnacentral:rRNA from 1 species